AACGAACGCUGGCGGCAUGCCUAACACAUGCAAGUCGAACGAGACCUUCGGGUCUAGUGGCGCACGGGUGCGUAACGCGUGGGAACCUGCCCUUAGGUUCGGAAUAACUCCCCGAAAGGGGUGCUAAUACCGGAUAAUGUCUUCGGACCAAAGAUUUAUCGCCUUUGGAUGGGCCCGCGUUGGAUUAGCUAGUUGGUAGGGUAAAAGCCUACCAAGGCGACGAUCCAUAGCUGGUCUGAGAGGAUGAUCAGCCACACUGGGACUGAGACACGGCCCAGAAUCCUACGGGAGGGAGCAGUGGGGAAUAUUGGACAAGGGGCGAAAGCCUGAUCCAGCAAUGCCGCGUGAGUGAUGAAGGCCGUAGGGUUGUAAAGCUCUUUUACCCGGGAUGAUAAUGACAGUACCGGGAGAAUAAGCUCCGGCUAACUCCGUG
rnacentral:rRNA from 1 species